GCGGUGGAGCAUGUGGUUAAUUCGAAGCAACGCGCAGAACCUUACCAGCCCUUGACAUACCGGUCGCGGACACAGAGAUGUGUCUUUCAGUUCGGCUGGACCGGAUACAGGUGCUGCAUGGCUGUCGUCAGCUCGUGUCGUGAGAUGUUGGGUUAAGUCCCGCAACGAGCGCAACCCUCGCCCUUAGUUGCCAGCAUUUAGUUGGGCACUCUAAGGGGACUGCCGGUGAUAAGCCGAGAGGAAGGUGGGGAUGACGUCAAGUCCUCAUGGCCCUUACGGGCUGGGCUACACACGUGCUACAAUGGUCGGUACAAAGGGUUGCCAAGCCGCGAGGUGGAGCUAAUCCCAUAAAACCGAUCGUAGUCCGGAUCGCAGUCUGCAACUCGACUGCGUGAAGUCGGAAUCGCUAGUAAUCGUGAAUCAGAAUGUCACGGUGAAUACGUUCCCGGGCCUU
rnacentral:rRNA from 1 species